rnacentral:rRNA from 1 species
GAUGAACGCUGGCUACAGGCUUAACACAUGCAAGUCGAGGGGAAACGACGGGGAAGCUUGCUUCCCCGGGCGUCGACCGGCGCACGGGUGAGUAACGCGUAUCCAACCUGCCUCUGACUGAGGGAUAACCCGUCGAAAGUCGGCCUAAUACCUCAUGGCAUCGUCUGCGGGCAUCCAACGACGAUUAAAGAUUUCAUCGGUCAGGGAUGGGGAUGCGUCUGAUUAGCUUGUUGGCGGGGUAACGGCCCACCAAGGCUACGAUCAGUAGGGGUUCUGAGAGGAAGGUCCCCCACAUUGGAACUGAGACACGGUCCAAACUCCUACGGGAGGCAGCAGUGAGGAAUAUUGGUCAAUGGGCGGGAGCCUGAACCAGCCAAGUAGCGUGCAGGAUGACGGCCCUAUGGGUUGUAAACUGCUUUUAUGCGGGGAUAAAGUGAGGGACGUGUCCUUCAUUGCAGGACCCGCAUGAAUAAGGACCGGUA